GGGAUCGGGGCGGUACUUAGGCCCUCGUGGAGCCCAGCAUCCACAGUCCAUGAGGGUCUAUGAGUCCAAGGUAAAGGAGAUAGAUUUCCAAGACUUUCGGACUGAGCGCCCCUUCUCCUUUCAGCCCUAGUUUGGCCCAUUAUUAAGAGAGGCAAUGCUCAUAUUUUAUAAGGUCCAGCAGGUCACUGUCCCUUUUGGUCCCAAGUAAGAACCUUUUCUGGCCUCUUCUACCCAAUUACCCAACUCCAUCUCUCACCGAAUCUCAAAUUUUGAUUUGUUUUUGGGAGGUGGGGACAAAGUGGUACAAUGGUGGGAAAAUGGGGGUGAGGGUACACUCUGCUCCAACAGGUAGCAGUGCUUGAAAAUCAGAGGUCUUUGUAUUCAGAGGCCUCACCUAUCAGGGACCCACACAGAAUCUGCCUAAAGAAAGUAUCUUGUUUGGAGCUUGCUAUUUUUAGCCAGUAUUUUUAGCAUUUAAAAAUACUCUGAGAGGUAGCAGUGUGUGCUGUUACUCAUCUGUGGCCUCCUUCUGUUCCUCUUGGCAUCCUCAUCCCCACAUGUACACAGCACACUGUGCGCACAUGACCACAGCCACAUGGGGGAUGUGUCCAGCACACUUGUAUGGCUGUACCCUAGGCAACCCACAAAUUUUAUGCUAAUCAGGGGAGAGUACAGAGGGUUGCCCCCAUGUGUUCCAGCAGUGGUGGGAGGCGUGGGCAGGAGGCAGGAGGCAGGAGCUGCAGAGCCUUAUACUUGGUGAUAAAUAAGGGUACUGAUGUUAGGAGGGGUGAUCUCCACAGUCACUAUCCAUUAGCAGUGAUCAAACUGGGCCCCUGGACAAAACACAACAGCCUUUUUCUGCACACACCCUUCUUCCUAACCACAGUCCUAUAACUGUCUGCAGCAAUGCUUGCAUUUGAUCACAUCACUCUUCUGCCCUGAAACACUGGAGCACCUGACUCGUACAUCCAGUCCAGAAGCCUCAGGUAGCCCUGUCUGUGAGGCUGUCUGUCCAUAGGCUCCUUCCAUUGUCACCACCCUCUCUUUUUUCUGAUCCCUGCUGCCAACUAACCUGCUCUUAUUUCUCUGCUUCAGCUCUUGCCCUCUCACUUAAAAAACAAAACUGCCACUGAUUAAGUACUUACUAAAUGCCAGGAACAGGCCAAGUGCUUUAGAUAUAUGUGUAUUAUCCCAGUUAACGUCCAUAAUAUCACAAUGACGUAGUAACCAUUACCUCUAUUUUAUAGAUGAAAAAACUUAAGUCCCGAGAGAGUUCAAAUGACUUGCCAGGAUUGCAAAUCUAAUGAAUGACAGUGCGGGGCUUUGAACCCAGAUCUAUCUUACAGCAAAACCCAUGCUUUUAACUACUAGGAGAUUUUGGAAUGCCCUUCCUACUCUCUGCCAAUUACCUCCCUAUAAAUUUUGCUCAAAUCUCCUGUUUUCCACAAAGCUUUCUCUAAUGAACUCCACCCAGCUCUAAACACCCCAUUACUGCAUACCCUCAGUCUGCUAGCAUUCUGUUUAUACUGUAUUAAUUUAAUUUAAUAUAUUUAUCUGUGUUUCAUAAGUGUCUCUAAUGCUUCUAUAAAUGGUCUUAGAUUGUGUGUUGAUUGCGCCAUCACACUGAAACCUCAAGGGCAGGGUUGUGGAUUCUCUUAGUGGGCUCUUAAUAAAUGGUGUUGGUUUCAUGUCUAAAGGGGGCCAGAUCAGGCUCUGCUUGGCACCCUGGAAGUACCAGAAGGUGGGGUGAGCCUCAGAAGGUAGGCUGAGUCUGGGUUUGCAUGUUGAAUUAGGGUGCUGCGGGACUCGCUGUCUAACAGGCACUCACCCACUGGAACAUUUGGCUUAUCUCCCUGUCACUUAGGCCAGCGAUGUGAGCACCCCCGCCCCAGGACAUCAUGGCAUUCUGCCAGCAUGCUCUCUCCCUCUUUCCUGGGAUGCAGGAGGUUAGGGGCACUGCUGGGAGCAGGGAGGCCCAGAUGGGGAAAGCUCCUCAUGGGAGCUCUUUGAGAAGUCUGGGGGGAGGGGAAAGAAUUCACACGGGGUCAUCUUGUCAAGCAGGUCUGACAGCUGCACGACACAACCAGCAAAGACUUUAGGCUCAUUUCUCAGUUAGCCAAGCCCCCAUGAAACCCUUUCUCCUCAGUGCUAUUUCAUGAAGGGGGAUGGGUAAAGGAUAUACAGUUGGCCUGCUGUAUCUGUGGGUUUCAUAUCCACCGAUUCAGCCAAUCUCAAAUUGCAAAUAUUCGAGAAAAAAAAAAAUCCCACAAAGUUCCAAAAAGCAAAACUUGAAUUUGUCACGUGCCGAGCACUAUGGUGAAUCCAUGUGUAUAAAAUAUGUAGGCAUAUCAUGAUGUGUAGGCACACCCUACAUAUGCAAAUAUAGGUUAUGUGCAAAUACUACGCCAUUUUAUAUAAGGGAAUUGAGCAUCUGUGGAUUUUGGUAUCCGAGGUGUCUUGAAAUCAAACCCCAGCGGAUACUGAGGGAUGACUGUAGUCUCCUGGGAUCUGAAUCUGGCUUUGGUUUUGUGACUUCCUGACUCAAAUACACUGACCUAACUGAGCAGGGUUCAUUUUUGUAGCCUGAGACUGCCAUUUCUCAGAGCCUGUGCUUGGCCUGCCUCCCCCUGUUGGAUAAGUAAUUUUCUCCACCUCAAAUCCUUCCUGGCAUGGGUGGAGUAUAACUAAAUUAAAGUCAGAGUAGCUCUGUGAGGGCAGGACUAAGAAUGUCCUGCUUUCUCAGAUCUUAGUGAGAAGCUUGGUCCAGGGCUUGGAAACACUGCCCAGACCCAGGCAAAGGUCUCAAGCCAGGGGCCCUGCUCCAGCAUGCAGCUGCUAUUACCACUGCAAACAGACAGACUGGUGGCCUGAUUGACUGGUUGAACUAGUAGGGGUUCAGAGUCCUUGUUGGUGGCUGGGCUUUCAGCCCAUAAGGGCCCUGGGAGGGAGGGCCAGUAGGAAGCGCUGCUCCCCUGCAUCACUCUUACCCCAGGAGGCCAACAGUUCUGUACUCCUUUGAGCCUCAGGGGCAAUCUGGCCUGAACCAGCUGGAUUCCAGACGCCCACACACUUCCCUCUUGCACUUAUACCUCUGUGCAGGGUGCCAGUUUUACAUGGGAGGGUACAAGGGGCCACGUGUGCAGCUUUGGGCCCUGAACAUGAUGUUCAUUUCUACAGCCAAUGGUCAGUGGAGCGGCUCUCCCAGGGGCAGGGAACAUUUUGCCAGGCUUGGAUUAACUUAUGCAUUGCUGAGCCUCACCCUAGUACCACGUUAACUCAUGAAGACAUCCUGGAGUGGGGGUGGAGGAGGAGGCAGGGAGGAUGGUUCCGGGCACUGAUUGAGAAACUGAGGCUGAGUAAGGCAGCACCGAGGCCACCAGCCAGGUAACAGCCCACAGCUGGUCUUUAAGGGACAGAUACAUUGGUGUCUUGUUGACUGUAACCACAAACCACAACCUACUGCCCUUUCUUUCUCAGCAGCUGGUACUGAUCCUGGCUAUGGGACCCCUCUGGGGCUUAAGGUCUCCUCUGAGUGACCUUCCCAUGUUGUCAAUACAGAUUCAAGUCCUCAGGAAGUCCAGCCUUCUCAGGGUGGCUGACUGGGUGAGGACAGGCCCCAGGGUCUCAGGCAGCCAAGCUGGACAAACAAGACAGCAGGGAUGCUGUUCAGUGUGGCUGAGAAAACAGUGAGAAGGCAAGGGAUGAAAGAGGAAGGUCACGCUUCUCACCCAGAAGCUCCAGAGCAGCCCUGCCACCCCUCCCUCCCCGGACACAGACACACACACCCCGCCACUGCAUGACAGCAGUCAAGUCCAAAGUCCCACCCAAGAGGAAAAUCACAUGACUUCAGUUUAUAUAAUCUCCCUGUCACUGAACAGCUGGAACCCAAGGCUUUAAGAGAUGAGUCAGCAGCCAACCCCAGAGGCAAAUGGACCCAGGGUCCAACUUGGGGAACCUACUUAUACCCAUGCCCAGAGAGCCUCCGACAAGUGGCAUGUACCUGCUUCUCCGAGGAUGGACGCGUCGAGCCGGGCACAAGCAUGGAGCUGCGGGUGGGUCCCGGCUGGUACUGGCGCGGCGCAGUGAGCAGCAGCUGACGCUGAGGGCUCCCUGGCCUUGGCUCUUGCCGGCCUCUCCACCUCCGCCGGGGGCCCAGAAAGGACCUCCCCGGGAAAUCGGUGCCACCCAGCGGGCAGCCGCCUCAUUGCGCCGGGGCAGGCAAAACCACACCCCCGCUUGCGUCACUGAGAAGCGUCACGGCUAUUGGCUUUUUCCCAUUGUGGCGUCAUUAGAGCCCCGCCCUCAUAAGGGUCUCCCUGCUGAGAAAUAUGGAGAACCACGUGGAAGAAAAGCUUGCGAGUUUGGAGGGGGACGAACGCAAAAAGAAGUGGAAUGAAAUGUGACACCCGGGGGCAGCUGGAAGGUAUUGGGAAAGGUAUGG